UCGAAGCCUUCCCGUUCGCCGUCGCCAUUUCUGACGCUGACAACGACACCGAAUACGAAUGCCUCACAGCGAGGAGAAUGUGGAUAGAGUCAGACGAAAAGAAGGGCGAAUACGUUUGGCUUCUCGAAGGGAAGCAUGAUAACCGGAAGCGAACGGUGAGCUUUUAUGUAUUCGAGGGAACCAGCCCGGACACAUUCCUCUUCACAGUGGGCUCAGAUGAGGCACUUUCAAGCGAGGCGAAAUUCCACUACACCGACUAUGAGAACUGCGCUGUCCUCGACAUCCCGUACAACGGACGCC